rnacentral:rRNA from 1 species
AUUGAACGCUGGCGGCAGGCCUAACACAUGCAAGUCGAGCGGAUGAAGGGAGCUUGCUCCUGGAUUCAGCGGCGGACGGGUGAGUAAUGCCUAGGAAUCUGCCUGGUAGUGGGGGAUAACGUCAGGAAACGGGCGCUAAUACCGCAUACGUCCUGAGGGAGAAAGUGGGGGAUCUUCGGACCUCACGCUAUCAGAUGAGCCUAGGUCGGAUUAGCUAGUUGGUGGGGUAAAGGCCUACCAAGGCGACGAUCCGUAACUGGUCUGAGAGGAUGAUCAGUCACACUGGAACUGAGACACGGUCCAGACUCCUACGGGAGGCAGCAGUGGGGAAUAUUGGACAAUGGGCGAAAGCCUGAUCCAGCCAUGCCGCGUGUGUGAAGAAGGUCUUCGGAUUGUAAAGCACUUUUAGUUGGGAGGAAGAGCAGUAAGUUAAUACCUUGCUGUUUUGACGUUACCAACAGAAUAAGCACCGGCUAACUUCGUG